GACGUAGGUGGCAAGCGUUGUUCGGAUUUAUUGGGCGUAAAGGGUGCGUAGGUGGAUUUGUAAGUCGGGUGUGCAAUGCCAUGACUCAAUUAUGGCUCUGCGUUCGAAACUGCAUAUCUAGAGGAUAGUAGAGGUUAGCGGAAUUUCUGGUGUAGGAGUGAAAUCUAUAGAUAUCAGAAAGAACACCGAUGGCGAAGGCAGCUAACUGGACUGUACCUGACACUGAAGCACGAAAGCCAGGGGAGCAAACGGG
rnacentral:rRNA from 1 species